UACGUAGGGUGCGAGCGUUAAUCGGAAUUACUAGGGCGUAAACGUGCGCAGGCGGUUUUGUAAGCCAGAUGUGAAAUCCCCGGGCUUAACCUGGGAAUGGCAUUUGGGACUGCAAGGCUUGAGUGCGGCAGAGGAGACUAGAAUUCCUGGUGUAGCAGUGAAAUGCGUAGAUAUCAGGAGGAAUACCGAUGCGAAGGCAGGUCUCUGGGCUGACACUGAC
rnacentral:rRNA from 1 species